rnacentral:rRNA from 1 species
AUUGAACGCUGGCGGCAUGCUUUACACAUGCAAGUCGAACGGUAACAGCACUUCGGUGGCUGACGAGUGGCGAACGGGUGAGUAAUACAUCGGAACGUGCCUAGUAGUGGGGGAUAACUACUCGAAAGAGUAGCUAAUACCGCAUGAGAUCUAAGGAUGAAAGCAGGGGACCUUCGGGCCUUGCGCUACUAGAGCGGCUGAUGGCAGAUUAGGUAGUUGGUGGGAUAAAAGCUUACCAAGCCGACGAUCUGUAGCUGGUCUGAGAGGACGACCAGCCACACGGGGACUGAGACACGGCCCGGACUCCUAGGGGAGGCAGCAGUGGGGAAUUUUGGAAAAUGGGGGCAGGCUGGAUCAAGCAAGGCGGCGGGCAGGAUGAGGGCUUUCGAGUUGUAAACUGCUUUUGUAGGGAACAAAAAACCCGCUACUAAUAAAGGAGGGUCAGGAGGGAACCGUAAGAAUAGGCACCGCCUAACUACGU